GGUUGCGAUCAUACCAGCACUAAUGCACCGGAUCCCAUCAGAACUCCGAAGUUAAGCGUGCUUGGGCGAGAGUAGUACUAGGAUGGGUGACCCCCUGGGAAGUCCUCGUGUUGCAACCC
rnacentral:rRNA from 1 species